AUCCUGGCUCAGGAUGAACGCUAGCUACAGGCUUAACACAUGCAAGUCGAGGGGAAACGAUAUUGGAAGCUUGCUUCCGAUGGCGUCGACCGGCGCACGGGUGAGUAACGCGUAUCCAACCUGCCCAUCACUUGGGGAUAACCUUGCGAAAGUAAGACUAAUACCCAAUGACGUCUCUAGAAGACAUCUGAAGGAGAUUAAAGAUUUAUCGGUGAUGGAUGGGGAUGCGUCUGAUUAGCUUGUUGGCGGGGUAACGGCCCACCAAGGCGACGAUCAGUAGGGGUUCUGAGAGGAAGGCCCCCCACAUUGGAACUGAGACACGGUCCAAACUCCUACGGGAGGCAGCAGUGAGGAAUAUUGGUCAAUGGACGAGAGUCUGAACCAGCCAAGUAGCGUGCAGGAUGACGGCCCUAUGGGUUGUAAACUGCUUUUAUAAGGGAAUAAAGUGAGUCUCGUGAGACUUUUUGCAUGUACCUUAUGAAUAAGGACCGGCUAAUUCCGUG
rnacentral:rRNA from 1 species